UACGGGGGGGGGCAAGCGUUUGUUCGGAAUUACUGGGCGUAAGGGCUCGUAGGUGGCCAACUAAGUCAGACGUGAAAUCCCUCGGCUUAACCGGGGAACUGCGUCUGAUACUGGAUGGCUUGAGUUUGGGAGAGGGACGCGGAAUUCCAGGUGUAGCGGUGAAAUGCGUAGAUAUCUGGAGGAACACCGGUGGCGAAGGCGGCGUCCUGGACCAAUACUGACACUGAGGAGCGAAAGCCAGGGGAACAAACGGG
rnacentral:rRNA from 1 species